rnacentral:rRNA from 1 species
CCUACGGGGGGCUGCAGUGGGGAAUUUUGGACAAUGGGGGCAACCCUGAUCCAGCCAUUCCGCGUGAGUGAAGAAGGCCUUCGGGUUGUAAAGCUCUUUUGUCCGGAGCGAAACGGGCGGCCCUAAUACGGUCGUCUACUGACGGUACCGGAAGAAUAAGCACCGGCUAACUACGUGCCAGCAGCCGCGGUAAUACGUAGGGUAUGAGUGUUAAUCGGGCGUACGCAGCCGGUAGCGUGCGCCAGAUGUGAAAUCCCCGGGCUCAACCUGGGAAUGGCAUUUGGGACUGCAAGGCUGGAGUGUGGCAGAGGGGACUAGAAUUCCUGGUGUAGCAGUGAAAUGCGUAGAUAUCAGGAGGAAUACCGAUGGCGAAGGCAGGUCCCUGGGUUAACACUGACGCUCAUGCACGAAAGCGUGGGGAGCAAACAGGAUUAGAUACCCUUGUAGUC